UACAAUGGCAUUACAGACCAUUACAACAACUCACCAUCUAGUUCCAAUGAAUACCUUCUUGACUGUACAAGAACAGACUCGUACAGAGUGGCUGUGAGGAACACACAGGGAGUGGUGAAUAAUGACGCAGGUACAGAGAAACUCUUCAUACAGAGUAGCAGUGGACGAGAUGCAACCCUUCAUGCUGGACUCCAGGAUGAACGGUCUGAACUCUGGGGGAGACCUGGCCAGUGGAAGGGACUCCAGACGGAUGGGGAUAACCAACAUUGAUCAAGUCAAAGAAAUACCUGGAAAUCAGGGCGGUAAGAUAAUUGGAGGGGUGGAUGUUUCCAAAAUUGACACCAGCAAAGUGGUCAGGCGUCGUCAGAAAUCAGAUGUUGAUCCAAUAUCGGUUAUCUCCAGUCGGGAUGCAAGUAAAAAUGCGAACAGGAGUCAUAAAAGCAGCAAUAAACGACAUAGCAACUCCUCAACAUACAUAAAGUUUGAUCCCAUCUUUGAGUUGGGCGAGGAUAUGAUGCUUUCCAUGGAAUCCCUGAAAACCGGAUCCAACUCUUCCCUUAAAAUGAGUCCCUCAGACUUUACUGACCAUGGGUAUGGAUUCAACAAGGAACCAAUGAAAUAUCAGUGGUAGUGGAGGCCAAAAGUAUCCUAGUGAAAAAAGUAGCUCCUCCUUAAUUGGCUCAAUCAAAAGUACUUUCAAAUCCAAGUCUAGUAGUUCAAAACAAAACAAUUCUGCCAACGAUGACGACUGGAGAUUCUCAAUGGUUUAAAUCAAAAUUCACUUUUUGAGAGUUGUUUUUUUUUCUAAGCCCCUCCCUCGCUUCCAAUGUUUACAUCCUGUGAUAACAAAUGUUUUUCCAUGACAAAAACUUGUGGUUGAUGUUAUAAUAUUUUUUUGAUUGUAAAGGAAAAAAAGAGUGCCAUAUGCAAUAAUAUUUGUAGAGUUUUAAGAAUUAUUCAGUUUUAACAUUAUUUUUUUUCACAUUUUUACAUCUGCAUGCACAUGCAUAGUGAACAUUCCAAAUUUAUUUUUAACUCAUCAUUACAUGCAAAAGUUUGAAUUAAUUGAAUCUAUUAAACGACAUACUGUGUAUGCUGUAAAUGUAUAUUUUAUUGUUUUAUACACUAGUUUGUACAUGUAGAUUUUCACCAAUAUAGAUGAGUGAUUUUAGUUAGUUUUUUUUAAGUCAUCCAUCACCAUACAUUUUUUGGUUUUUAUCAUCAAAAGUGCUUGCCAUUCAUCUAUUUUUAUAUCCCCAAUUUAUCACCUUUUUUCCAUAUCAAAUAUCACUAAAUGUAUAUAAAAUUACAUGAUCAUAAUUCAUUCAACAAAAACAUCCAUAAUAUUCAUUCAUUACAUUGUAAAUUAUUGAAUAUGCAAAAAAUGGCAGCAUUUAACAUGUGACUCAUCGAUGUCAGUUAAUCCAUUUUUCAUAUAUAUAUGUAUGGCGUAUUUUUUGUCAUGCAUUCAAGAUGUUCGUGUUAUUAUGAAAAUUUUAAAAACUUCUGAAUUCAAUAACAUUUCAUUUAUUUAAGAUAACAUUCCAUACAAUUUUUUUUUCAGAUUCUUGUUAAAAAUACCAGCUAUAUAUAUGUGCAGAUAUUUUUUGCCUAUGAAAUUUUUUCCAGUUGAUUGCAAAAUAUUAAUCCACUUUGAUGUACUUGUUCUGCUCUUUAUGCUCUCUUUUUUUUAACACAUAAAUUAUUGAAAGUCUGAAUUUAAUUCCAAAUUUCCAAACUGCAUUAUUUCUUUUUGUUGGAUUUUUUUCACAUACCACAAUGAAUGUCACAUGAAAGCCAAAAUGGUUGUUUGAAGUGCUUGAGUGUUAACAUUUGAUAGAAACACCACUCCAUCUUGUAGUGCAAUUUACAUCUGUUCUACAGAUUUCUGUAGCCAAAUAAAGUAUUCUAGCAAC
rnacentral:sRNA from 1 species